GACGAACGCUGGCGGCGUGCUUAACACAUGCAAGUCGAACGGAAAGGCCCUGCUUUUGUGGGGUGCUCGAGUGGCGAACGGGUGAGUAACACGUGAGUAACCUGCACUUGACUUUGGGAUAACUUCAGGAAACUGGGGCUAAUACCGGAUAGGAGCUCCUGCUGCAUGGUGGGGGUUGGAAAGUUUCGGCGGUUGGGGAUGGACUCGCGGCUUAUCAGCUUGUUGGUGGGGUAGUGGCUUACCAAGGCUUUGACGGGGAGCCGGCCUGUAAGGGUGACCGGCAGACUGGGGGAUAGAGGGACGCCCAGAAGCCUCAAGGGGGACAAAAGGGGGAAAAAUUGAAGAGGGGGCAGAAACAGAAAGAUCAGCCCCCGCGGGCGGAAGAAGGUCUGUGGGGUGGAAAACCGUUUCCACCUGAAAGAAAGGGGGAGUAACGGUAUGGGGAAAAUAAGCCGCGGAAAACUACGUG
rnacentral:rRNA from 1 species